GAACGCUGGCUGCGUGCUUAACACAUGCAAGUCGAACGCUGAAGCCCUCAGCUUGCUGGGGGUGGAUGAGUGGCGAACGGGUGAGUAACACGUGAGUAACCUGCCCCUGACUUCGGGAUAAGCCCGGGAAACUGGGUCUAAUACCGGAUAUGAGCAUGGCCCGCAUGGGUGGUGCUGGAAAGUUUUUCGGUUGGGGAUGGGCUCGCGGCCUAUCAGCUUGAUGGUGGGGUAAUGGCCUACCAUGGCGACGACGGGUAGCCGGCCUGAGAGGGCGACCGGCCACACUGGGACUGAGACACGGCCCAGACUCCUACGGGAGGCAGCAGUGGGGAAUAUUGCACAAUGGGGGAAACCCUGAUGCAGCGACGCAGCGUGCGGGAUGACGGCCUUCGGGUUGUAAACCGCUUUCAGCAGGGAAGAAGCCUGACGGUGACGGUACCUGCAGAAGAAGUACCGGCUAACUACGUGCCAGCAGCCGCGGUAAUACGUAGGGUACAAGCGUUGUCCGGAAUUAUUGGGCGUAAAGAGCUCGUAGGUGGUUGGUCGCGUCUGCUGUGGAAACGCAACGCUUAACGUUGCGCGUGCAGUGGGUACGGGCUGACUAGAGUGCAGUAGGGGAGUCUGGAAUUCCUGGUGUAGCGGUGAAAUGCGCAGAUAUCAGGAGGAACACCGGUGGCGAAGGCGGGACUCUGGGCUGUAACUGACACUGAGGAGCGAAAGCAUGGGGAGCGAACAGGAUUAGAUACCCUGGUAGUCCAUGCCGUAAA
rnacentral:rRNA from 1 species